GAUCUGGCUCAGGAUGAACGCUGGCGGCGUGCUUAACACAUGCAAGUCGAACGAAGCACUUUAAUUGAUUUCUUCGGAAUGAAGUUUUUGUGACUGAGUGGCGGACGGGUGAGUAACGCGUGGGUAACCUGCCUCAUACAGGGGGACAACAGUUGGAAACGACUGCUAAUACCGCAUAAGCGCACGGGAUUGCAUGAUCCAGUGUGAAAAACUCCGGUGGUAUGAGAUGGACCCGCGU
rnacentral:rRNA from 1 species